rnacentral:rRNA from 1 species
CCUACGGGGGGCAGCAGUGGGGAAUAUUGCACAAUGGGGGAAACCCUGAUGCAGCAACGCCGCGUGAGCGAUGAAGGCCUUCGGGUCGUAAAGCUCUGUCCUAAGGGAAGAAUACUGACGGUACCUUAGGAGGAAACCCCGGCUAACUACGUGCCAGCAGCCGCGGUACUACGUAGGGGGCUAGCGUUAUCCGGACUUAGUGGGCGUAAAGGGUCAGAAGGCGGCCCUUCAAGUCAGAGGUGAAAGGCUACUGCUAAACCGUAGUAAGCCUUUGAAACUGUGGGGCUGGAGUACAGGAGCGGGGAGAGGAAUACCCAGUGUAGCGGUGAUAGGCGUAGAUAUUGGGAGGAACACCAGUUGCGAAGGCGGCUCUCUGGACUGUAACUGACGCUGAGGAACGAAAGCGGGAGGAGCGAACAGGAUUAGAUACCCGGGUAGUC